UACCCCCUUUAAAACAAAACCUGAAAAGACGCUUCUCUCUUUUGCUUUCUUUGAGAUGCCGCUCCUCUCUCUUUCCCUGGUUCGGCGAUUGCGCUCCUCUCUUGUCCUCGACGCUGCAUUCCUUGCGCUCCUAUCGCCGUCGAGCUCUCUUCCCUCACGGCCACCCUCGAUCUCUCUUUCCUCAUGCCGUGUUACCUCACGCCCGCCAUCGCGCUCACCUCUCUUCCAAGAAGAUGGCAAGGUCAUCAAAGGAUGUUGAGGCCACAUAACUUGAUAUGGUGGCAUUGAAUACCCGACUCAUUUCACGAUUUCAGGGAACUAAAGAUAAUCAGGGAAGCGGGUGAAUUUCUACAAUGGACUGAUCAUUCAUCAAGUAGAUGCCAAGGUAUUCUUGACAAGACAUCAAAAUGGGGAAGAAUUGACACACAAGGAGGCAUCCCGUUGAUGCCAAGGUAUUCUCAACAAGAUUCUGUUCUUCAUUGGGGACUUGGAAGUGGCUUCCACGGAUGCAAAACGUCAUCGGGUGCUAGAAUAGCAUCUAUGUUCAUAUAUGUUUAUAACAUUAUCCUGUAUGUUGUAUGUAAGCCUUAAUAUAGAAUCCUUUUUGUCGCGAUCUCCCCAAACCGGUCUCGUCACCUAGGAAGUUUGGCUAAUGAAUUGCUAAGUCUAAACCUAGGACUUAAUUAGGGCUCUCCUAAGCUCAUACCAA